rnacentral:tmRNA from 5 species
GGGGACGCACAGAUUCGACGGACCGGCACUUUGAAAGUUGCAAGCCGCUAAGGGAACAUUAAGCGCAAAAUAUUGUUUCAAAAAUAAAUGCUAAGGAUAAAAUCCAAGCAUCCUUUGGGUUAGUAGCCCAAACUCUCUUCCCACAAGGAAGAGUUGCUUACGCUUAAAACGUAAGGGUGUUUUAAGCUAAUCUCUAUCUGACGGAAUGCUUAAGAUAUUGUACAACAGUCAGGUUGCUGUCCUGAUAGUUUUGAUUGAUCUGUCAGGAUUUAAGACAACUCAACCAAGUGUUGGUUUUCCUGCUGGUAGGUUACAACCAAUACUUAAAAAUAUACCGGCUAAGCUUGUAGACACUUUUGUAGUAACAGUUCGGACAGGGCUCACUGCCCUCGUCUCCACAA